UUUAAGGUCUAAUCUGCCCUAUGAGGAAUUAAAUGGCCGCGGUACUUUGACCGUGCAAAGGUAGCAUAAUAAUUAGUUUUUUAAUUGAAAGCUAGUAUGAAUGAUUGGACGAGAAAAUAGCUGUCUCAAUUUAAAUUGAUUAGAAUUUUAUUUUUAAGUAAGAAAGCUUAAAUUUUUUUAAAAGACGAGAAGACCCUAUAGAGUUUUAUAUUUAUAUUAUUAUAGAAUUAUUGGUAUUCUUUUAUCUAUAUUUAUAUAAGUAUUUUAUUGGGGCGAUAGGAAAAUAUAAUAAACUUUUUCUUUUAUUUUUACAUUAAUUUAUGAAAUUUUGAUCCAUUAUUUUUGAUUAUAAGAUUAAAUUACCUUAGGGAUAACAGCGUAAUUUUUUUUUAGAGUUCUUAUCGAAAAAAUAGAUUGCGACCUCGAUGUUGGAUUAAAAUAAACGUUUGGUGCAGGAGCUAAAUAGUUAGGUCUGUUCGACCUUUUAAAUUUUACA
rnacentral:rRNA from 1 species